rnacentral:misc_RNA from 1 species
GAUGAGGAGCCCCUUUUUCCAGCUGCUAUUUUAAAUCUGAAGGCAGCAUAUGAGACACAAACAGAAGUGCUUUCUGUUCAUGCUAAGCAAGCAGCUGCAGGGAUUGUGCGACGGUUGCAGCUGGGUUCUAAACUUUCUGAUGUUGCUACAAGCCAAGAAGAUGUGCUUGCUCUGUUUGAACUGUACAAGAAUGAAGGUUAUAUUUUGACUGAGCAUGAAGGAAGAUUUUGUAUUGUACUGAAAGAAAG